GGGGAAGGGAGUAUGAGCAAGCAGUCAGUCAUCAAUAGCAUCCUGCUCUUAAGCCAAGGUGAGGAUGGCUGGUUUGAGUGUGCCUUCAUUUCCCCCAGGUGCAUGCAGGUCUGCUCCCUGAAUGCAGCUUGCUAUCAAGGGAACUAAGAAAGGAUGUAGGCAUAUUGUUAAUGUCUCUCUUCAAGCUGUAUUUGAGCUUACAUUUCAGGUCUCAUCUACUGGAGAAAGCCUGCUCACAAGCCUCCAUCAGUUAGUUACCCUCUGGUGAGAGAAAGCU
rnacentral:lncRNA from 1 species